AAGUCUAGAACACCGAGCUAUUCAUGUUAGCGCAAGUUCGUGCCCAUCUACUAUCUCUGCACGAUUAACCGUGUUUAUCACAUGUUUUUUAAGGUAAUCACAUUAAAGAACAUGUAAUGCACGAUUUUCUCUGUAUUAGGAAGAACGCGCUGUACCAUUUCACCUCGUAAUUGACAAGCAUUCCCUUUCUUCUUAACGCGUCUUUGCAGUUUAAUGCAACUUGGAGCGCUAAGCGAUCUGGAACACGCGCUAAUGAACCGUACAGAGAGACAUCAUAUUGUUGGCGAAGGCUCCUGUUCUGCUCUUAUCAAAGUUUUACCAGACAACAAAGAUUUGUUCGUUUCUCACGUCACAUGGUUUUAUUACACAUCGAUGUUACGUAUUUAUAAACUUUACGAACUACAGCUGGUUAACAACAGCAAUCCAGGUCAGCAAAU
rnacentral:lncRNA from 1 species